rnacentral:rRNA from 1 species
UACGUAGGCAGCAAGCGUUGUUCGGAGUUACUGGGCGUAAAGGGUGUGUAGGCGGUUGUUUAAGUUUGGUGUGAAAUCUCCCGGCUCAACCGGGAGGAGUCGUUCAAUACUACCAAACUUGAGGGCAUCAGAGGAAGGUGGAAUUCCGGGUGUAGUGGUGAAAUGCGUAGAUAUCCGGAGGAACACCAGUGGCGAAGGCGGCCUUCUGGGAUGCUCCUGGACGCUCAGACACGAAAGCUAGGGGAGCGAACGGGGAUAAGAUACCCGU